GGGGAUAUAGCUCAGUGGUAAAGUGCUUGCUUGGCACGCACCAGGUCCUGGGUUCAAUCCCCGGUACUUCCG
rnacentral:tRNA from 1 species